GCGCAGAGCUGCAUGAAGUCGAACAAGCCUGUUCUAACAAGGUGAUAGGAAACAGCUGAGUGCAAUCAAUGAAUGAACUGAUGAGUGACAGACAGAAUGCUGGGAAAUGAAGUCAAAUGUGAAAGACACUGUGAGAGCCAUAGAGCCUAAUGGAAAGCAAGGGAACACAACCAGACACUGUGACAGGUAAAAAAAAAAAAAAA